rnacentral:tRNA from 1 species
GAGGGUGUAGCUCACUGGUAGAGCACGUGCUUAGCAUGCACAAGGUCCUGGGUUCAAUUCUCCAGUACCUCCA